rnacentral:lncRNA from 1 species
UCAUUAAUUCAGAAAUUCAACCCAAACAGAAACUGGCUGCAACUCUUAGUAGUGGCUAAAAUGAAUUUUUUUUUAUUGGCCGCUACUCUUAGUAGCGGCUAGAGAUUUUUUUUUGUUGGUCUCUAUUAAGAGUAGAGGUAAGGAAAAAUGUCUUAAACAAUCUCACCUUAGUUAGAUUUAAAUAGUUUCAAUGUAUUAGUUUGUAAGGUAAUUCUAAGUUGUAUUACAAUAAGGAGCUUAAAUUUUAC